ensembl:lncRNA
UCUGCUUUAGACUGAUGACACAGAGAGGUGUUUCUGCUUUAGACUGAUGACACAGAGAGGUGUUUCUGCUUUAGACUGAUGACACAGAGAGGUGUUUCUGCUUUAGACUGAUGACACAGAGAGGUGUGUUUCUGCUUUAGACUGAUGACACAGAGAGGUGUUUCUGCUUUAGACUGAUGACACAGAGAGGUGUGUUUCUCUGAUUAUACUAUGGUCGUGUCCCAAAUGGCACCCUAUUCCCUACACAGUGAAAAGUAGUCCACUAUUUAAGCAAUAGGGUCCCAUUCAGGAUGCAACCUGUGUGUGUGGGACAACAGUGUUACCUGGGCAACAGUGUUACCUGGGCAACAGUGUUACCUGGGCAACAGUGUUACCUGGGCAACAGUGUUGAUUUGUUAACAUUCAGACUGUAUUCUAAUUAUCUUGAGAGAGGAGAGAGGAUGAGAAGGGGAAAGAGAUCAUUAAGAGAUUAUCCUGAACUUCCUAACAUUGUCCAGGAAGAUGAACAUAGAUUGACCUGUGACCUGGGAAGUUGAACAUAAUAAUGCUGAUCAGUGAUUGGCUGAUGAUAGGCAGAGGGCAGGUAUUACAUAAAGACAGUGUUGGUAGUUUGAAAUUAUGAACAGAAACACAGAGGUUUUUGUAUCUGAAAAGAGUUAACUCCCAAAAGGAGAAAUGUAUUUUAUCGUCUGGUUCCUUUGAUGUGUGUAGGAGACAAAUACUUUGAGUCUUUUUAUUUGUGCAGUGGAAAAUACACUAAAGAAAAAUUGUUUUCCAGAGGCCUGUGUUUCAAUACGGUGUACGAGAGAGGGAGAGAGAGAUGCUCAUCACAGUGAAGAGAGGGAGAGAGAGAUGCUCAUCACAGUGAAGAGAGGGAGAGAGAUGCUCAUCACAGUGAAGAGAGGGAGAGAGAGAUGCUCAUCACAGUGAAGAGAGGGAGAGAGAGAUGCUCAUCACAGUGAAGAGAGAUGGAGAGAGAGAUGCUCAUCACAGCGAAGAGAGGGAGAGAGAGAUGCUCAUCACAGUGAAGAGAGGGAGAGAGAGAUGCUCAUCACAGCGAAGAGAGGGAGAGAGAGAUGCUCAUCACAGCGAAGAGAGGGAGAGAGAGAUGCUCAAUCACAGCGAAGAGAGGGAGAGAGAGAUGCUCAUCACAGCGAAGAGAGAGGAGAGAGAGAUGCUCAUCACAGCGAAGAGAGGGAGAGAGAGAUGCUCAUCACAGCGAAGAGAGGGAGAGAGAGAUGCUCAUCACAGCGAAGAGAGGGAGAGAGAGAUGCUCAUCACAGCGAAGAGAGGGAGAGAGAGAUGCUCAUCACAGUGAAGAGAGGGAGAGAGAGAUGCUCAUCACAGUGAAGAGAGGGAGAGAGAGAUGCUCAUCACAGCGAAGAGAGGGAGAGAGAGAUGCUCAUCACAGCGAAGAGAGGGAGAG